rnacentral:siRNA from 1 species
GAACAUACCUAUGUGGACAACGAU